rnacentral:rRNA from 1 species
CAGCCGCCACGGUAAUACGAAGGGUGCAAGCGUUAAUCGGAAUUACUGGGCGUAAAGCGUGCGUAGGCGGUGGUUUAAGUCCGUUGUGAAAGCCCUGGGCUCAACCUGGGAAUUGCAGUGGAUACUGGGUCACUAGAGUGUGGUAGAGGAUAGUGGAAUUUCCGGUGUAGCAGUGAAAUGCGUAGAGAUCGGAAGGAACAUCUGUGGCGAAGGCGACUAUCUGGGCCAACACUGACACUGAGGCACGAAAGCGUGGGGAGCAAACAGGAUUAGAUACCCGCGUAGUCCCUGUCUCUUAUAC